AGUCAUGAACAUUGUCGAGAUGGCUCUAAGGAUGGACUCUUCUCCAGGCCUCCUGACUGUGAUGCUACUCACACUCACAAGGGCCCAAGGAGACUCAGUGACUCAGACCAAAGGUCAAGUGGCCCUCUCAGAAAAGGACUUUCUUAUUAUACACUGCAACUAUUCAGCCUCAGGGUACCCAGCUCUGUUCUGGUAUGUGCAGUAUCCCGGAGAAGGUCCACAGCCUCUCUUCAGAGUCUCAAGGGACAAGGAGAAAGGAAGCAGCAGAGGGUUUGAAGCUACCUAUGAUAAAGGGACCACCUCCUUCCACUUGCGGAAAGCCUCGGUGCAGGAGUCAGACACGGCUGUGUACUACUGUGCUCUGGCUGACACAGUGACAGAAACCACAGGGGGAGCUGCACACAAACUCUGAGAAGCACGGGGCUGGCUUCUGACUUCUGGGAUUGCUUUGCUUCCUCUCUGUGCUGUGCGACUCUCCGUUUCUCUCACUGGGACGAAAGUCACCUAAAUAGCCACAGCAGAAAGAACAAGAAAUAGACUCUUCCACACUCAUCUUGACUGGGACUAAU